rnacentral:lncRNA from 14 species
GCACAACGGGGACACCCCACCGGGAACACCCACACAAUGGGGACAACCCACCCAGGACACCCGUGCUAUGGGGACAACCCACCCAGGACACCCACACAAUGGGGACACCCCACCAGGGACACUCAUACUAUGGGGACACCCUCACAAUUGGACACCACACUAUGGGGUACACCCCACUGGGGACACCUGCACAAUGGGGACACCCACCCUAUGGGGACACCCCACCGGGGACACCCGUGCUAUGGGGACACCCUGACAAUGAGGACACCCACACGAUGGUGACACCCCACUGGGGACACCUGUACUAUGAGGACACCCUCACAAUGGGACACCACACUAUGGUGACACCCCACUGGGGACACCUGCACAAUGGGGACAACCCACAGGGGACACCCACACUAUGGAGACACUCUCACAAUGGGGACACACUGACAAUGAGGACACCCACACAACAGGACACCCAACUAUGCACACCCGCACAAUGGGACACCCACCAGGAACACCCACCGAGGACACCCACACUAUGGGGACACCUGCACAACAGGGACACCUGCACUACGGGGACAACAACCACCCCACUGGGAACAUCAACCCAAAGACCCCCAGAGCCACCCUCAACCACCACCUGGGCACACCACCCACAGACACCCAUUAGGGUCACCCACCAGCACCGUCCAUCACCGCCUGUAGUCACCAACCACAGCGCGCAUCACCAGCACCUUCAGCCACCACCCAGGGACACCCAUCGGGGACACCCACUCAGGGACAACCCCCCCAUAUCCCUGAUCCCGUCUCACAGCAGGGAAUGGUUCCAGAAGACACAGAUGGGUUUGGAGCGCUCCUGGGUCUCGAGCAGCCGGAACUGCAGGGUGAUGGGCUGCUCCAGCGCCCGCGGUGCCCGCGCCCCCCCGCGUGCACACUGAUGCUCACCACCGGGGUGUUGAUCACCGGGCGCUUGGGCACCCUGCGGGUGACCAACGGGGGUCAGCGGGGGCAUCCGGACACCCCAACACCCUCAUACCCUAACACCCCAUUCAUGACACGCUGACAUCCUGACACCGUGAUACCCUGACACC